UGGGGGGAUAUUGCACAAUGGGGGAAACCCUGAUGCAGCGACGCCGCGUGGAGGAAGAAGGUUUUCGGAUUGUAAACUCCUGUCGUUAGGGACGAUAAUGACGGUACCUAACAAGAAAGCACCGGCUAACUACGUGCCAGCAGCCGCGGUAAAACGUAGGGUGCAAGCGUUGUCCGGAAUUACUGGGUGUAAAGGGAGCGCAGGCGGACCGGCAAGUUGGAAGUGAAAACUAUGGGCUCAACCCAUAAAUUGCUUUCAAAACUGCUGGCCUUGAGUAGUGCAGAGGUAGGUGGAAUUCCCGGUGUAGCGGUGGAAUGCGUAGAUAUCGGGAGGAACACCAGUGGCGAAGGCGACCUACUGGGCACCAACUGACGCUGAGGCUCGAAAGCA
rnacentral:rRNA from 1 species